rnacentral:lncRNA from 7 species
AAUAAAUAAUAACAUAAAAUUAUAUUUUGCAUGCUGGAUUUGCUUGAGCAUUAAAUAUUGAAAUUAAAAUUCAUUUAAAAUUAGAAUCUAAAAAAAAGAAAAUAGAGAAAUAAUAAAAAGAAAAAAAAAGAGAAAAUAAAAGGGCCGAUGUCUCACCUCGUAGUGAGCCUAGGAUCACUCAUGCCCAUCUCCCCUCCAACACAACCAGCCCACGUCUCUCCCUAUGCACAUUUUUUUAUUCCCCUAGCCGGA